AAUAGGUGGAACCUAGAAACAACCCAGUCUGCCCCUCAACCAAACAAUGGAUAAGGAAAACGUGAGAUGCUGAGCAGUCACCAUGUAGGCUUCAAAGGACUAAGAUCUCCAGACUCUUCUCUGCAGGGACCGCCUGCCCAUCACCCAUCCCCCC